UACGUAGGGUGCAGGCGUUAAUCGGAAUUACUGGGCGUAAAGCGUGCGCAGGCGGUUUCUUAAGUCAGACGUGAAAUCCCCAGGCUUAACCUGGGAACUGCGUCUGAUACUGGAUGGCUUGAAUUCGGGAGAGGGAUGCAGAAUUCCAGGUGUAGCGGUGAAAUGCGUAGAUAUCUGGAGGAAUACCGGUGGCGAAGGCGGCAUCCUGGACCGAGAUUGACGCUGAUGAGCGAAAGCUAGGGGAGCAAACGGG
rnacentral:rRNA from 1 species